CCGGAACCUCCGCAGCCUAACCACUGGUGAUGUGUUUGGGGAGCUGGCUAUCUUGUACAACUGCAAACGGACAGCAACAGUCAAAGCAAAGACAGCAGUGCGUCUGUGGAGCAUGGAGCGACAGACCUACAGGACGAUCAUAACCAACAAGUCCAAGAAGAAACGGGAGCAGCUCAUGGGCUUCUUGAAGACGUCUCAUACUCUAAAGGACCUGAAUGAUGUCCAGUUGUCCAAAAUCCUCGACUCU